rnacentral:rRNA from 1 species
UGGGGAAUAUUGGACAAUGGGCGAAAGCCUGAUCCAGCAAUGCCGCGUGAGUGAUGAAGGCCUUAGGGUUGUAAAGCUCUUUCGCCUGAGACGAUGAUGAAGGUAUCAGGAGAAGAAGCCCCGGCUAAUUCCGUGCCAGCAGCCGCGGUAAUACGGAAGGGGCUAGCGUUGUUCGGAAUUACUGGGCGUAAAGCGCGCGCAGGCGGUUGGACAAGUGAGGCGUGAAAGCCCUGGGCUCAACCUGGGAAUUGCGUUUCAGACUGUUUGACUGGAGUUCGGGAGAGGGUGGUGGAAUUCCCAGUGUAGAGGUGAAAUUCGUAGAUAUUGGGAGGAACACCGGUGGCGAAGGCGGCCACCUGGCCCGUAACUGACGCUAUAGCGCGAAAGCGUGGGGAGCAAACA